CAGUCACACAUUAGAUACCCGUGUAGUCCCAGCCCUAAACGAUGCGCGUUAGGUGUAUCGGUGACCACGAGUCACCGAGGUGCCGAAGGGAAACCGUGAAACGUGCCGCCUGGGAAGUACGGUCGCAAGGCUGAAACUUAAAGGAAUUGGCGGGGGAGUACCACAACGGGUGGAGCCUGCGGUUUAAUUGGACUCAACGCCGGGAAGCUCACCGGAUAAGACAGCGGAAUGAUUGCCGGGCUGAAGACCCUGCAUGACCAGCUG
rnacentral:rRNA from 1 species